AAAACAUUAGUAAAAAAUUACUAGGCCUUGUCAUGGCCUCAUUACCAGCUUAAAUCUUGUAUGUUUUA
rnacentral:tRNA from 1 species